rnacentral:rRNA from 1 species
UGAGGAACAUUGGUCAAUGGGCGCAAGCCUGAACCAGCCAUGCCGCGUGCAGGAUGAAGCAUCUAUGGUGUGUAAACUGCUUUUGUACGGGAAGAAACCACCCCUCGUGAGGGGUAUUGACGGUACCGUAAGAAUAAGGAUCGGCUAACUCCGUGCCAGCAGCCGCGGUAAUACGGAGGAUCCAAGCGUUAUCCGGAAUCAUUGGGUUUAAAGGGUCCGUAGGCGGUCUAAUAAGUCAGUGGUGAAAGCCCAUCGCUCAACGAUGGAACGGCCAUUGAUACUGUUAGACUUGAAUUACAAGGAAGUAACUAGAAUAUGUAGUGUAGCGGUGAAAUGCUUAGAUAUUACAUGGAAUACCAAUUGCGAAGGCAGGUUACUACUUGUGGAUUGACGCUGAUGGACGAAAGCGUGGGGAGCGAACA